CCUACGGGAUGCAGCAGUGGGGAAUAUUGCACAAUGGGCGCAAGCCUGAUGCAGCCAUGCCGCGUGUAUGAAGAAGGCCUUUGGGUUGUAAAGUACUUUCAGCGGGGAGGAAGGUGUUGUGGUUAAUAACCGCAGCAAUUGACGUUACCCGCAGAAGAAGCACCGGCUAACUCCGUGCCAGCAGCCGCGGUAAUACGGAGGGUGCAAGCGUUAAUCGGAAUUACUGGGCGUAAAGCGCACGCAGGCGGUCUGUCAAGUCGGAUGUGAAAUCCCCGGGCUCAACCUGGGAACUGCAUUCGAAACUGGCAGGCUAGAGUCUUGUAGAGGGGGGUAGAAUUCCAGGUGUAGCUGUGAAAUGCGUAGAGAUCUGGAGGAAUACCGGUGGCGAAGGCG
rnacentral:rRNA from 1 species